UAGACCUUAGAUACGGUCGAAAACGUUCGUUUUCAUUGAAAUUUGUGUUACUGGAGUUUAAAGGUUUUAGAUUGUGUAUGAUUCGUUCUAGUAAUUCGGUAAGAAGAUAGUUUAAACCCGUUAUUAGGACAUUGGAAAAUUGGAAUAGCAAAAAAGCAAUUAUUAUUUUAUUUCAAACUUUACGAAGGUAAAUUUACAGUGGGAUAAAAAUAUAUAUUUUUCAUUAAUAGAAAUUUAAUUAUAUUAUUUUGAUGAGAAGAUAAUCUAAGAAAAUAUAUACAGUUGACCCCCCAAAAUCUAAGUCAGUUUCCACGUCACGCGAAACGCAAGAAUGUGGGCAACAAUAGAUUUUUCAAUUGUUACGAUUGCUUUGUUGAGUGGUAUUUUCGAAGGCGAAAGAAGUUUUCGAGAUUUUUUGCUUGCUUUCUUAAGGAAAAUUGUUUUGACUAUAAAUCCUAAACUACUAUAUAGCGGGUAUUGCCGUAAGCGAGAUAGAUGCACAGUACUCGAAUGUCUGUUUUCGUGAAUGACAAAUGUUUAGGUUAACCUUUGGAGGGGCCUACUUAAAGAAAAAAAAUUAUCAAGAUUAAAUGAAAAUAGAAGGUUGUAACGAAGAAAGCAGAAAAAGUUUUCUGUAUUACAGUUAGCAAGUUGUAAAGCAAAAGUAAAAUUAAAACUGAAAUUGAACCUUUCGAUUCUAACAAAACCGAAACAGCAACAAGAGGGUGACGUCAAACACAUUUCGACAUUUUUCUGUUAAUAUAAAAUGGUUGCAUAAGUAUCUAAGCAAUCAUCUGAGACUAUUUGAAAUAGAGCCUAAAUCCACGCGGAAUUUCGUUUUACGCCAUAACCGCUGAAUGCAGCGACUGCGUAAAAUAAUACUGUAUCGUAGUUUAAUUCGUAUAUCGUGUUUCAUUAUAAGCACUGAUAUCAAUAAACUAAUA